rnacentral:ncRNA from 1 species
GCUAUAAUAAUCUUGAAGACAAGUUAGAUGGAACAGAACCUUUUAAGCGAGUGCUGGUUGGUGGAAAGAGCACAAAGGUGGUUAAUCUAAUACUCCUUCCUGGUUUUUAUGUAAACAUAAAAGGGUGGCUCCCUUAUCGCCAAUAGAGGUGCAAGGCAUGUUUUUUUGUCCUGCAUAAAUUAAGGUGGAACCACGCUGAUUGCGUCCUUUGG